UUCGCUGACGAGUGGCGGACGGGUGAGUAAUGUCUGGGAAACUGCCUGAUGGAGGGGGAUAACUACUGGAAACGGUAGCUAAUACCGCAUAACGUCGCAAGACCAAAGAGGGGGACCUUCGGGCCUCUUGCCAUCGGAUGUGCCCAGAUGGGAUUAGCUUGUUGGUGGGGUAACGGCUCACCAAGGCGACGAUCCCUAGCUGGUCUGAGAGGAUGACCAGCCACACUGGAACUGAGACACGGUCCAGACUCCUACGGGAGGCAGCAGUGGGGAAUAUUGCACAAUGGGCGCAAGCCUGAUGCAGCCAUGCCGCGUGUAUGAAGAAGGCCUUCGGGUUGUAAAGUACUUUCAGCGGGGAGGAAGGGAGUAAAGUUAAUACCUUUGCUCAUUGACGUUACCCGCAGAAGAAGCACCGGCUAACUCCGUGCCAGCAGCCGCGGUAAUACGGAGGGUGCAAGCGUUAAUCGGAAUUACUGGGCGUAAAGCGCACGCAGGCGGUUUGUUAAGUCAGAUGUGAAAUCCCCGGGCUCAACCUGGGAACUGCAUCUGAUACUGGCAAGCUUGAGUCUCGUAGAGGGGGGUAGAAUUCCAGGUGUAGCGGUGAAAUGCGUAGAGAUCUGGAGGAAUACCGGUGGCGAAGGCGGCCCCCUGGACGAAGACUGACGCUCAGGUGCGAAAGCGUGGGGAGCAAACAGGAUUAGAUACCCUGGUAGUCCACGCCGUAAACGAUGUCGACUUGGAGGUUGUGCCCUUGAGGCGUGGCUUCCGGAGCUAACGCGUUAAGUCGACCGCCUGGGGAGUACGGCCGCAAGGUUAAAACUCAAAUGAAUUGACGGGGGCCCGCACAAGCGGUGGAGCAUGUGGUUUAAUUCGAUGCAACGCGAAGAACCUUACCUGGUCUUGACAUCCACGGAAGUUUUCAGAGAUGAGAAUGUGCCUUCGGGAACCGUGAGACAGGUGCUGCAUGGCUGUCGUCAGCUCGUGUUGUGAAAUGUUGGGUUAAGUCCCGCAACGAGCGCAACCCUUAUCCUUUGUUGCCAGCGGUCCGGCCGGGAACUCAAAGGAGACUGCCAGUGAUAAACUGGAGGAAGGUGGGGAUGACGUCAAGUCAUCAUGGCCCUUACGACCAGGGCUACACACGUGCUACAAUGGCGCAUACAAAGAGAAGCGACCUCGCGAGAGCAAGCGGACCUCAUAAAGUGCGUCGUAGUCCGGAUUGGAGUCUGCAACUCGACUCCAUGAAGUCGGAAUCGCUAGUAAUCGUGGAUCAGAAUGCCACGGUGAAUACGUUCCCGGGCCUUGUACACACCGCCCGUCACACCAUGGGAGUGGGUUGCAAAAGAAGUAGGUAGCUUAACCUUCGGGAGGGCGCUUACCACUUUGUGAUUCAUGACUGGGGUGAAGUCGUAACAAGGUAACCGUAGGGGAACCUGCGGUUGGAUCACCUCCUUACCUUAAAGAAGC
rnacentral:rRNA from 1 species